rnacentral:rRNA from 1 species
UACAGAGGGUGCGAGCGUUGUUCGGAAUUAUUGGGCGUAAAGCGCAUGUAGGCGGCUUGUUAAGUCGCGUGUGAAAGCUCCAGGCUCAACCUGGAAAGUGCGCGCGAAACUGGCGAGCUUGAGCAAGCUAGGGGGCAAUGGAAUUCCCGGUGUAGUGGUGGAAUGCGUAGAUAUCGGGAGGAACACCAGUGGCGAAGGCGGUUCGUCUGGGCCUGUACUGACGCUGAGGAGCGAAAGCGUGGGGAGCGAACGAGG